AACGAACGCUGGCGGCAGGCUUAACACAUGCAAGUCGAACGCAUCCUUCGGGGUGAGUGGCAGACGGGUGAGUAACGCGUGGGAACGUGCCCUUCAGUUCGGGAUAACCCAGGGAAACUUGGGCUAAUACCGGAUACGUGCGAGAGCAGAAAGAUUUAUCGCUGAAGGAUCGGCCCGCGUCUGAUUAGCUAGUUGGUGGGGUAAUGGCCCACCAAGGCGACGAUCAGUAGCUGGUCUGAGAGGAUGAUCAGCCACAUUGGGACUGAGACACGGCCCAAACUCCUACGGGAGGCAGCAGUGGGGAAUAUUGGACAAUGGGCGCAAGCUUGAUCCAGCCAUGCCGCGUGAGUGAUGAAGGCCUUAGGGUUGUAAAGCUCUUUCGUCCGGGACGAUAAUGACGGUACCCAAAGAAGAAGCUCCGGCUAACUUCGUGCCAGCCGCCGCCGUAA
rnacentral:rRNA from 1 species